AUUGAACGCUGGCGGCAGGCCUAACACAUGCAAGUCGAGCGGAUGAAGGGAGCUUGCUCCUGGAUUCAGCGGCGGACGGGUGAGUAAUGCCUAGGAAUCUGCCUGGUAGUGGGGGAUAACGUCCGGAAACGGGCGCUAAUACCGCAUACGUCCUGAGGGAGAAAGUGGGGGAUCUUCGGACCUCACGCUAUCAGAUGAGCCUAGGUCGGAUUAGCUAGUUGGUGGGGUAAAGGCCUACCAAGGCGACGAUCCGUAACUGGUCUGAGAGGAUGAUCAGUCACACUGGAACUGAGACACGGUCCAGACUCCUACGGGAGGCAGCAGUGGGGAAUAUUGGACAAUGGGCGAAAGCAUGAUCCAGCCAUGCCGCGUGUGUGAAGAAGGUCUUCGGAUUGUAAAGCACUUUAAGUUGGGAGGAAGGGCAGUAAGUUAAUACCUGGCUGUUUUGACGUUACCAACAGAAUAAGCACCGGCUAACUUCGU
rnacentral:rRNA from 1 species